rnacentral:rRNA from 1 species
UACGGAGGGAGCUAGCGUUAUUCGGAAUUACUGGGCGUAAAGCGCACGUAGGCGGCUUUGUAAGUAAGAGGUGAAAGCCCAGGGCUCAACCCUGGAAUUGCCUUCAAUACUGGCGACCUUGAGUAUGAGAGAGGUGUGUGGAACUCCGAGUGUAGAGGUGAAAUUCGUAGAUAUUCGGAAGAACACCAGUGGCGAAGGCGACACACUGGCUCAUUACUGAACGCUGAGG